rnacentral:rRNA from 1 species
GACGAACGCUGGCGGCGUGCUUAACACAUGCAAGUCGAACGGAAAGGCCCUGCUUUUUUGGGGUGCUCGAGUGGCGAAUGGGUGAGUAACACGUGAGUAACCUGCCCUUGACUUAGGGAUAACUUAAGGAAACUGGCGCUAAUACCGGAUAGGUGCUCCUGCUGCAUGGUGUGGCUGGAAAGUUUCGGCUGGUGGGGAUGGGCACGCGGUUUCUCAGCUUGGUGGUGGGGUCGUGGUAUACCAAGGCUUGGACGGGGAGCCUGCCUGAGAGGGUGACCGGCCACAUUGGGAUUGGGAUACGACCCGGACUCCUACGGGAGGAAGCGGUGGGGAAGAGAGCACGAUGCGCGGAGGGCUGGCGCAGCACCGCCGCGUGCGGGAUGUCGGCCAUCGGGUUGGAAAGCGCUUCCGCCUGUGACGGAGCGGGAGUGACGGUAAUGGAAAAAGAAGCACCGGCUAACUACGUG